AAACGUAAUGAAAGCAAACUACCGGAUUUGAAGAAAGCAAAUGCUUGUUUUAAGCACUUUUUCCAAAAUAAACAUCAACAACAUGCUUUGGAACGUUGAAUCCAAGUAAGGAAAGUGCCCACAUUAUAAAAAACAUUGGUAUGGGAAGAAGAAGGGCGUGAGUAUUUUUUAAGAAAGGAAGAACUAUCAUUAUGUUAGUGAAAUUUCUAGUAAUCAUCAUUAUAGACAUCGUCAUAAAAAGAGCUAAACGAUGAUAGAAAAACAAAAUUGGCCUACUUUGAUAUCCAAUAAAUGUUAAAUAUGAGUAAUAACAUAGAGCAACUAAAUAAAGCGUAUUUCCCAUGAAUAAUGAAAUGCUAGAAAAAGUUAAUAUAGGAAGAAA